rnacentral:rRNA from 1 species
CACGUAGGGCGCGAGCGUUGUCCGGAUUUAUUGGGCGUAAAGAGCGUGUAGGCGGUUAGGUAGGUCCGUUGUGAAAACUCGAGGCUCAACCUCGAGACGCCGAUGGAAACCAUCUGGCUAGAGUCCGGAAGAGGAGUGUGGAAUUCCCGGUGUAGCGGUGAAAUGCGCAGAUAUCGGGAAGAACACCCGUGGCGAAGGCGGCACUCUGGGACGGUACUGACGCUGAGACGCGAAAGCGUGGGGAGCGAACAGG